UGAUGACUCUUCCUCGUCCUUAUGACGGCGACUCGAGGUAGGAGAUGGUUGGUCAAGAGAGCCCUGUGACUGUUGGUUUUUCUGAAGUUCACCACUAGCUUGAUCAUAACGCUCAGCCAAAGCGCGGUACAUGCGGUAAAACUCCUCCACAAGGUGGAUUAACUCGGGACGCUUCUGGUAAUACAUCUGAGCUUUCUUGGCAAAAGAGUCUGCGUCUUCUUCAAUCAACUUCAACAUGUGUUUCACACGGUCAUCCAUCUCUGAGAAGCCAUAACAAUAACAAGUUCAAUACAUUAAGUGGACAUAGAUCUUAAUGGUAAGUAAGGCAACAUACUCUCUAGAUUCUCUGCAAGCCACUUUGAGUUCUUGGGACAAUUGUGACUGUCCCACCACCAUGAGUGUGAUUUUUUGGUCGUAGACCUCUUAAACUGCUUCUUGCUAAGUGCCUGAAAAAAUAAAUAAGAAAAAGUGAGUAAGUCUUAGGACCAGAGACCAAACACAAGGACCAAGUCAACAUAAUGGUUUCUUACCGCAGACGAGGCCAUGACUUUGAGGGGUGUAGAGAAUCUUAGGAACCCCUACAAGAAAAUUAAAGAUUGUCAGUUAAUAUUAAGAGACUUGAGUGUCUCUUGAAGAUUUGCUUGAGUUUAUCGAAACAAGUGGGACAAAACAGAUGAGAUGAGAUAAGAGGAAGAAGAUAGGAUUGUGCAUGCGGCAAAGGAGACACGUGAAGCUUUAACAACCCAUUGUGGCAUUUGCGCAAUUUUCAAGAAGUCCAAAGAUUCUCAGCUUUUACCAGCGUUUUACUCCCUCCGUUCUUAAAAAAUAAAUUUUUUAAAAUUUUCACACAUAUUAAAAAAACGCAUUAAAUUACUAUAAUAAAUUUAUCGUUUUCUGUAAGUUUUAAUUUUUAACAAUUUUUAACUAAUAAUAAUAUAAUAAAACCAAUUAAUUUUCUUAAAAUUUGCAAUUUUUCAUAGAAAACAUAGAAUAUACAUCUUUUUGAAACAAAAUUUUUUUCUAAAAUAUAAAUUAUUUAAGAACAGAAAGAGUAUAUACCAGAAUAAUCGAUGAAACUAAUAAUAUAACUGCAUAUUAAAGAAAGAAGAAGAGACAAAAAAUUUCUUUUCUUUGAAAUAAAAGAGACAAAAAGUUGUAGGAGGAUAAAAGCUUACUUUACACAAAUGCAGAAGAACAGAGAGUUUAUGAUUGAGAAUGCUCAUAGAAUGGUCUUCAUAAAGCCCUUUAUAUCUGCCUUGAAGAUGAUUAAUCUAAUCAUAAACUAAUCAUCUUUGUCUCACCUUCCCUAAAUAAAAUAUUAUUAAGUAAUAUCAAUAAGGACACAUGAAUCUUGAAAAUUCGUAUACGCGGCUCUGAAAGUGUGAAUACGCUUUCUCUACACGUCACAGAAUCUCACCUGCUUAUUUUAAUUUUCUUAAAGUCUUCUUUGUUUUAGAAAAAAGAAAGACUCAAUGAUUGUGACAUAGUGUAGUCGUUGUGAUUAAUGGCGGAUCGAUCUGCAACGCCCAAAAUUUUGCAUGUGGCGUCGUUGUGAUUAGACAGAGAGAGAGAUAGAGAUAUGAAACUUAUUUCUUCCGACAUAUUUAACCAAACCUUCAACAAACUUUGAAACAUAAUAAAUUUACAAGCUAGCUAAGUUGAUGGUGAAUGAUAUUAAGGAUAAUCAUCAAUCAAGACAUGUGAUCCAUAUUGAUUAUUCACUAUGAUUCCUCUAAUUAUGUUAUUUAUCCUAUCAUUAUCCUUGCAGUAUCAUCUUAUAAUUACUUAGGAUUUUCAUCUUUAUAUGUAUGUGCUCUAAAGAUAAAAUGCAAUACAACACAGUAUUCCAUGAAAGAUAGCCAUAAUCAACUAUCCAAUAGUGGUAAUGGCAAACAAACUUUAGAUUGCUAAACAACCUAAAUUCGAAAGCAUUUUUUACCCUUCAUUGUGUGGCCACAUGUAUAUAGACGCAUUGCUUACAUUUUAUACAAACAUCCAAAGAAAAAAAAAGAAAUUAGUUUAGAUAUUUCUAAAGGUUUAAGAUAACUAGAUUUAGAAAAAAUAGCCAUAAACAACCAACGGGCCUUGGGCUAGUGGCACUUGAGGGAUAAUCCCAAUACGUUGAAUCCGCAGUUCAAUUCCCGUUGGCCACCAAAAUUUAACAUUGCACUUCUGGAGCCCACAGAAUAGUCGGCGGUUGAUCUCGGUCGCCGGACACUGUGAUUAAAUCAAAAAAAAAAUAGCCAUAAACUAAAACAUAAACUUUGAUGAAUCAAACGCGUAGUGAGUAACGAAGAGAAUAAUUCUAUUCCUGCUACAGAAUUGACUACUCUUUUUUGACAAAAUAUUGACUAAUCUGUCGGGUUUAUUAAAGAAAUGUUAUAGUUUACUAUAUAUAGACGAUUGAAGAUUUUGAAUUUGGUAUACAAAACUAAUAUAUGUACGAAAUAAGAUUGAAAUUUUAUAUUCAUGAGAUAAAUAGGAGUCAUAGUUUGGAAACAUCUAAUGCUAUGCGAUAGUUCUAAUGAGAAAAUAGAUCAUCGAUCUUUAUUUUGAAAAAAGAAGUAGCAGUGGACGUUAAAAUAAACGCGAAGCACAGUUCAAUGUCAAUGAAGUCAAUCUGGCAACAACCCACCGUAUUGAUUUCAAAAAAGAAAUGAUCGAUCGCCUAUCUCAUAUGUAUUUUUUAAAACAAUACAAAAUGAUAAUAAUAGAAAGAGACACAAUACCACCAGACGUGGUUGCGCAGAAAAGAGUGGCCCCUGCAUCUUUAGUUUCCUCUUUAACCAAAUCAAGACUCUCUUGCUCAACACCAAGUUGAGUUUCUGCUUCAGAGGAAAUGCAACUCUUAAGCUCAAUCUUCAGAUUAGCGAUCUCUUUUUCUUGCAUUCGAAUCUUUACAUUAGCUUCUUUAAGCUCUCCUUCAUAUACAGUAAUUUUCUGAAGGAGAUCAGUGUUGUUGUCACCAUUAAGACGUUCCUGCUGUAGAUGGAGUUUCUCUUUAGUUUCUUGAAGCUCAAUUUCUAGAUCAGCCAUCCUACGGAUCAAUGCCUCGUCACCAUCUUCAUCAUUAACAGAGGAAUGAUCAGGAACCGACUUAGAGUUAGAAUCAGAAUCAGACAGAGAUGAUGAGUCUUCCUCUUCCUUAUGAGGGUGACUCGAUUUCUCUUGGGAAUUAGCAGGAGAUGAUUUCUCAAGAGAGCCCUGUGGCUGUAUCCCAGAGAGAUGAAUUUUCUGAAGUUCACCACUAGCUUGAUCAUAACGCUCAGCCAAAGCGCGAUACAUGCGGUAAAACUCCUCCACAAGGUGGAUUAACUCGGGACGCUUCUGGUAAUACAUCUGAGCUUUCUUGGCAAAAGAGUCUGCGUCUUCUUCAAUCAACUU
rnacentral:lncRNA from 1 species